UUGCGCUUUCAGCUUCUUUACAGUGCUGCCUUGUUGCGUUCAUGUCAAGCAGCAUUGUACAGGGCUAUGAAAGACCAG
rnacentral:pre_miRNA from 1 species